AUAUGUGAGAGUGAUCUGGCUGCGACAUCUGUCACCUCAUUGAUCACCAGGGUUGAUUCAGCUGAUCUGGCUGGCUAGGCAGGUGUCCCCUUUGUCCCUCAACACUCCAUGUGCACCCCUAUUGAAGCUACACUAGGUCAAAGAGGACAACCUUCCCCAAUAAAAAAGAGGACCGUUCUUCAGUGAAGAGCAUAUGAGUAGCUGUGCUUCCCUGCUAGAACCUCCAAACAAGCUCUCGAAGUCCGUUUGUAGGAGAACAUAGGAUAGUCAAGCUUUCGAGACUCCAGACACAUUCAAACGAAGUGCUGCAUGUGGCAGUCUGCCUUUU
ensembl:misc_RNA 7SK 7SK RNA